rnacentral:lncRNA from 1 species
AAUGCACAGCAAGACUGAAGAAUCGAUAUUGAUGCAAAAAGAAUUAAAAAGAAAUUGCAAAGUAUUGUUCAUAAAUGACAACAAGAUAUGAAAACUUUAACAAUAUUUAUGUAUUCAGACUUAAUAAUACAACUAUAUAUAAUUAUGAGAUCUAUUUGAAUAUAAAAAAAAAAAUCAAAUGUAAACAACAUUUGCACCCAA